rnacentral:rRNA from 1 species
UGUAGCAAGGUUAACCGAAUAGGGGAGCCGAAGGGAAACCGAGUCUUAACUGGGCGUUAAGUUGCAGGGUAUAGACCCGAAACCCGGUGAUCUAGCCAUGGGCAGGUUGAAGGUUGGGUAACACUAACUGGAGGACCGAACCGACUAAUGUUGAAAAAUUAGCGGAUGACUUGUGGCUGGGGGUGAAAGGCCAAUCAAACCGGGAGAUAGCUGGUUCUCCCCGAAAGCUAUUUAGGUAGCGCCUCGUGAAUUCAUCUCCGGGGGUAGAGCACUGUUUCGGCAAGGGGGUCAUCCCGACUUACCAACCCGAUGCAAACUGCGAAUACCGGAGAAUGUUAUCACGGGAGACACACGGCGGGUGCUAACGUCCGUCGUGAAGAGGGAAACAACCCAGACCGCCAGCUAAGGUCCCAAAGUCAUGGUUAAGUGGGAAACGAUGUGGGAAGGCCCAGACAGCCAGGAUGUUGGCUUAGAAGCAGCCAUCAUUUAAAGAAAGCGUAAUAGCUCACUGGUCGAGUCGGCCUGCGCGGAAGAUGUAACGGGGCUAAACCAUGCACCGAAGCUGCGGCAGCGACGCUUAUGCGUUGUUGGGUAGGGGAGCGUUCUGUAAGCCUGUGAAGGUGUGCUGUGAGGCAUGCUGGAGGUAUCAGAAGUGCGAAUGCUGACAUAAGUAACGAUAAAGCGGGUGAAAAGCCCGCUCGCCGGAAGACCAAGGGUUCCUGUCCAACGUUAAUCGGGGCAGGGUGAGUCGACCCCUAAGGCGAGGCCGAAAGGCGUAGUCGAUGGGAAACAGGUUAAUAUUCCUGUACUUGGUGUUACUGCGAAGGGGGGACGGAGAAGGCUAUGUUGGCCGGGCGACGGUUGUCCCGGUUUAAGCGUGUAGGCUGGUUUUCCAGGCAAAUCCGGAAAAUCAAGGCUGAGGCGUGAUGACGAGGCACUACGGUGCUGAAGCAACAAAUGCCCUGCUUCCAGGAAAAGCCUCUAAGCAUCAGGUAACAUCAAAUCGUACCCCAAACCGACACAGGUGGUCAGGUAGAGAAUACCAAGGCGCUUGAGAGAACUCGGGUGAAGGAACUAGGCAAAAUGGUGCCGUAACUUCGGGAGAAGGCA